rnacentral:misc_RNA from 1 species
UACCGUUCAAUAGACUAGCCAAAUUUUAUUUUUAAUAGGAAAUCAAGAAUGAGAUUUUAUAAAAACAACUUUUAGUAACGUCUGCCCAAGUCAGGAUUAUUCACUGAAUGGUUCUGGCCCUUGUUUCAUGAAAACCCUAUUCAAUCUGGCAAACAGGAAUUACAAGAGAACAAACACAAAACAAUAAACGAGAAACAAAGAGAAAUUGAACUCUGAAACUCGAUGUUUCUCAAAUUAAGUGUGCCCCAAGCAUUACUCCUUUGACUCUGUCUGACCAGAGGUGACUGCAGGUGCAUCAUUUUUGGACUGCACAGCCUCAAGUGUCUUGUAGAACUCCUCAGGAAGAGGACCAGGUCGAUGUAAAGGAACAUGCUUCGGAACUGGUGCAUCAUUUUCUAUAACUUCACAUUCAUAGUCAUCAGGAACACCCCAAGGAUC